ensembl:snRNA U1 U1 spliceosomal RNA
ACAGUUACCUGGCAGGGGAGAUGCCGUGAUCACGAAGGUGGUUCCCCCAGGGCGAGGCUUAUCCAUUGCACUCCGGAUGUGUUGACCCCUGCGAUUUCCCCAAAUAUGGGAAACUCUACUGCAUAAUUUGUGGUAGUGGGGGACUGCGUUCGCGCUUUUUCCUG